GGAUGUAGAUGUAAAAAGUGUGUACAAUGACAAGAUCUUUAGCACACCAACUACUUUUGUAAGAGAAAAAAGCAAUAUGAAUGAUCACAUUUUACUCGAUGACACUCCAGAGUCAUUCAAUAAUCAUAGAGAGAUGGCUUCAGAGAGAAAGAGAGAAGAUUGUAUUGAGCAAAGUCCAAAAAAUACUGAAGGUUUAGUAUUACAUGAAGGCAUGGUCUUCAAAACUCAAAAAGAAGCAAUGGAAGCCUACAACCAAUAUGCAUAUGAGAAAGAUUUUGGUAUUCGGAAGAGAUCAUCUUAUCGAUCAUCAAAAAGUAAAG
rnacentral:lncRNA from 1 species